rnacentral:rRNA from 1 species
GACGAACGCUGGCGGCGUGCUUAACACAUGCAAGUCGAACGGAAAGGCCCUGCUUUUGGGGGGUGCUCGAGUGGCGAGCGGGAGAGUAACACGUGUGUAACCUGCCCUAGACUUUGGGAUAACUUCAGGAAACUGGGGAUAAUACCUGAUAGGCGCUCCUGCUGCAGGGGGGGGGUAGGUAAGUUUCGGCGUGUGGGGACGGACUCGCGGCCUGUUUGCUGGUUGGUGGGGGAGUGGCUUACCAAGGGUUGGGCGGUUGGCCGGCCUGGGAGGUUGACCGGCAACAUUGGGACUGGGUUACGGCCCGACCUCCUACGGGAGGCAGCAGUGGGGAAUAUUGAACAAGGGGCGGAAGCCGGAUGCAGCAACGCCGCGUGCGGGAUGACGGCCUUCGGGUGGUAACCCGCUUUCGCCUGUGACGAAGCUUGAGUGACGGUAAUUAGAAAAGAAGCACCGGCUAACUACGUG